AAUUUUUGAUGACUACUCUGUUUUUAGUCUGAUUAAAACUUUCUUUGUUUUUCACAAAAAGCUAGGUAAUAAUAAAUCAGCCUUAGCUACAAAGAACCCAUGUUUCAAUACUUCCUUCCACUGUAACUCAUCCCCUAUCUCACUUAAAAUAUCUUCAGCAGCAUCUUACUUUCAGAAAAACACCCUAAUCUUUAACACUACUCCAGAGCCCAGUCUCUGCCUAUAUCCCAGUCUUAAAGUUGUACUAUUCUCCCCACCGCUCUUGGGUACCACAUGACUUCUUCUCAUGGCCAGACAACCUUCCCCACUCCAGAUGCACGUAUUGUUGCUCUGGCUGUGAUACCAUUCCUUCCCUUUACCCUUUCAUCCUUCUCAAUCUGAGCUCCAGAGCGACUUCUGCAAGGAAGUUUCUCCCAGGUUACAUCAUGUCUUUCUAACAGAUACCUCAUUUUACUGUGCUUUGCUUUACAGUGCUUCACAGACCUUGCUUUUUCACAAAUUGAAGGUUUGUGGCAACCCUGUGUUAACCCAGUCUGUAGGUGCCAUUCUUCCAAGGGCAUUUUGCUGACUUCAUGUCUCUGUGUCACAUUUUGAAACUGCCACAGCUACUCCAACCUUCAGCAAACAUCACCCCGAUCAAUUAGCAGCCAUCAAUAUUGAAGCAAGACCCUCCACCAGCCAAAAACAUGACUGUGAAAGCUCAGAUGAUGGUUAGCAAUUUUUAGCAAUAAAGCAUUUUUAAUUAA